CUUUUGACCGAUUCUAAUCAUCAAUUCAAAGGGUUUCAAUCUGUAUUCGGGGCGAGGGAGAAGGAUCAAAUGACGCCGAUUACGACAGCGGCGGUGGAGCUGGUGGUAUGGCCGUCGGACAGCGGCGGUGGCGGCGAAGCUGGUUGCGACAGCGAUUACGAGCUUGGCGAGGUUCGUCGGGAUCCGCCUCCGUAUUUUCGCUCCGAUCGAUUCUCCGAUAACCUGGUCUGUCUUUGCUUCUACAUCUUAUAUAUAUGUAGAUAUAUACUAUUGUUAUCAUUUCCCUCACUUGUCUUUGCUUCUGAAGAGACUUGCUUGCAAAACCUUAACCCUAACCCUAAUUCGAGUUCUAGAUUGAGGGUGGGUUCUUUGAAUUUUGGGUCUGGUGGGUCCGUAUUGAUUGAUUGUUUGAAGAACAAAGAGGGUGGGGUUAAAGAGGAAGAGAAUCAAGAAAACAAAAAUGUUGAUGUGGGUGGUGGUGAAACUUCGUUUGGAGAAAUUGGGUUGGAAUUUGAAGGUACAGAGAGGUGGGUUUCUCAUUUAAUUGUUUUUUUUUUUUUUUUUUUUUUAAAGAAAAAUUGUUAAAAGCAUCAUUCUUUGAUCACAGUUACUUUUCCCCAAAAAUGGUUUUCUUUGCGCUGUUUGGUUGCUGAGAAAAUGUGGGAAAAGGACGAAAUAAACAUUUUUGAACCUAUGUUUUGGAGAUUUUUUUUUUUUUUGUGUGAAAAUGGGCUUUCUUCGUUCUUUAUAUUGUGGAAAAUGGUAUUGUAAAGGUCGAUUUUAUGCCUGUUUGGUUGUGGGAAAUUGUAAAAAGAUAAACAAUUAAAGUUCAUAUAUAUUUUUAUAUUUGCAUGGGAAAUUUUUUUUGUGGUUUGAGAAAGGAGAGUGGGUUUUUAAUUUGGUUUUAAUAGUUUGGUGUUAGGACUAUAGUUUUUUAAGUUGGUCUUUAGUUUGGGGCCUUCUUUCCUGCUUUGUUUGGUUGCUAAAAAAUGCAGGUAAAUGAAACCAAAUCUUAUUUUUCCAUUGUUUUGGAGUGUGCGGAAAGAUGUAGGAUCCUUUUGUGGGUUUAGUGUUUGAAAUCCAUGUUUAUCAAUUAGGUCCCCCUUCUGCAAAUACUUGGGUGGAAAUUGGAAAUUGGAGUUUUUAAUAUAUUUAUACUUCUUGUUUCCUUUUUCUUGUUUUUAUUUAUCUCUGUUUAGCCUGAGGCAAAGUGCUUUCACACACUGUUUUGCUGCUGAGAAAAAGUUGGGUAAGAAAAGAAACUAUAAUAUGCUCUACUUUCUUUUGGAUUGUUUGGAGGCAGGAACUUUUGUUCCUAAGAUAACUACUCUUGAUUAAGUUGAUGCCCUCUGUUUAUGUUGCUUAGACAACCAUUUCCAUUUUACUCUUUCUGUCCUAGGUGGAUUGGUUCUUUUAGAAUAGCAUUCGAGAACCUAAUAAUUAUGUGGUUGUUUGUGUUUUCAUUUUUACUUUUUAGUGUUAGUGUCUCAGAAUUGUUGUUGAUUUAUUUGAACUUCUUUUUUAUGUUUUUCAUGUUUUUUUAUGUUUGAAAAAUAUAUAUUUGUGUCUCCUGCAUCAUGGUGUUACUUUUCUUUAAUCUAAAUGAAAAUUAUUUCCCUUUGUGAUAUAUCUUGAUUAUUUAAGAGGGGUUUUUUGUGUGCUUUGGGAGAGAUUAUCUAUGGGUUAGUAUUUGGAAUGGAACUCAUGUGAAAAUUGUUUCUGUCCUUGAAGAAAUGGCUUUAAAUUUGGGUGUUAAAGAAUUGAAAGGUUGUAAGAUUCUAGUUCUUGUUUGCUCCUCUGUAUAUAUUGAUCUAUUUCAAGUUUUAUUUAUUUUUUGAUAAUUAAAGAUAGUAUUGUAUUGUUAUAUCAAUUUCAAGAUUUUUCUUUGGCUUUUUGCAUGACCCUAGUUUAUAAAAUGACUAAUUAUUAGAAAAUCGUUUGUUGAAGUGUGUGUAUAUAUAUAUUAAGAAGAUCAUAUAUGCAUGUGUAUUACAGCCUUUUUGCAGGAAUCUUGGUGAUUAAAUCAUUUCCUAGUGGAAAAAGGUUUCUCAUUACUUUCACAUAAGCAUGAUCAAACGCAUUUGGUGUGUUGUCUUUUUAAAGUGCAAAAUUAUAAAUGAUUAGUAGGGUCCCACUUCAUAAUUGGAGCAGUGGUUCAGAGAUGAAAAAUAAUGUGCUCUGAAGCCAUGACUACCAAAGUUAAAGCUUUCAGCUUUUAGUUAUUGGCAGCUUGCUAUUGGCAGACCGAAACACAUAAUCUCUCACUUAUUUUCAGAUCAAUCUAAACAACUGACCCGUUGUAUGCUUGUGGACUGACAUUUAUAAUGUAUACUAUCUGUACUAGGUAGCUUAAUUAAUUACAAAAUUUACAUUGUCUUCCCCAUUUUUUGAAAUGUAGUGAAGUGUUGUAAUAAAUUGCAGAAAUGUAGUAAGUGCUAUUCUAAACUGAAUUGCUUUAUGUCAAAUUGUGAAGCUAUUUGCUUCAUUAUUAUAUGUUCUUACAUGUGUUAAUUAUUAAUUACUUUGAAGGUCUGAAACACUUAGUCUUAAGUGACAUAUGAGUAGUUCUUUUCAAAGCUCAAGCACAUGGGUGCUUUUGGCUUGACAUGGGUGGGGUCUGCAUUAUUAUCACUAGUUGAACUUAUUUCUGUUUCCCUUAUCUCUUUGAUUAUUGAUUUCUAUAGUUUGUUUAAGAAGAAAAAAAAAAAAAAAGGUUCAUUUUACUGUUGAAGAGUCAUUGGACCAGUGUGUUCAUGAUAUAGUAAUGGGCCCAUACCUGGCCCGUAUUGUAUUAUAUUUUGGCAGCUGGAGUAAAUCAUUUGUAAUUUUCUAAGCCCUGAGCCUUUUUGAAUGUUUGGGAUGUUUAUUUUUUGUUGUAGAAUUGAGGGUGGGAAGCUUUUAUCUCAAUAUUGAGGGUUAAGUAUUUUCCUUUUUAAAAUUUGGUUUCAAUCCUAUUUUUAAUAUACUACUAUUGAAACAAAUUUACUAGUCCCAUAAACUUGUUGAAUUUAUUAUUUUUGUUAAAUUUAAUUUUUACAAUAGUGAAUCUAUCAGGAUUUUAAGCCAUUGGAUGGUAAUAAAAGUUACUACCCGGUCAUUUGCCUAUCCAUGUUUAGAAAAUCAUGAAGACACUUGUUAGUUUUGUUUUUCAUCUUAAUGUCCUUGGAACUUGCAUGUCAUCCAUAAUUUGUGUUCAAUUGCUCCAAUUUAGUGGAACCUGCAUGAUAUCUUACCAAGAACACUGAUUCCCUUGGAACAUUAAUUUAAAUUUCUCAUCUGGUGGAUUGUAUUCCUUUUAUAUAAUAAAUCAGAAAUUCUAUGAAGCCUUUGAAUUUUCUGUUUACUCUAUUAAUUAUCUGUUAAUCUAGGUCUUAACGCUUUAGACAACUUCCCUUGUUUAUUAUCUGCUGAAAUAAGCUAGUGGUUUUUUUUUUUUUUCUUUCCAGUAACUGUUUUUGGUUUUCUUUUUACUUCUGAUUUCUACAUGGUUAUUCUUUGAUCCCUCAUGGAACAUAUAUCACAUACAUAUAGAUAUAUUUUCAUAUACAUGUGUAGAUACAUAUACACAUACACAUAUAUGCACAAGUGUAUAUAUAUUAUUUUGGUUUGUUUGUUUGAUAACAUGGUAUCUGGCCCACUAACUAAUCCAGGAGGCCCCAUUAAAGCCAAGGCAAAGCCCCGUAUGGACUUGCCCCAACGAAUUAUUUGCACCUAGGAAGUUUCGAACCUGAAACCUUGGAGGGUGUCAACCCCUUGGGGUUAUACACACAGUUAUAAGUGUAUUGAGUGUAUAUACACGACUACAAGUGUAUAUGUGAAAUAGAAUUAGAGCAACAUAUACACAGGUAUAUACACACAUAAACUUCCACAUUAUCAAUGUAAAUGCUAAUAUGGUUAAGUGAAAUAAAAUUAGAAUAACAAAUAUUGAAAUCACUUUAGCUCUAUGGCUUCUGAUGACAGUACUGGUAAAUUCUAUGCAAUUUUGGUCAUAGAAUUGGGAUGAAAUAGAUGUCUUUGCAUAUUUCAAGUUCUAAUAAUAAUAUAAAAGUUACAAAUCAACAUAAACAUUGGUGUGUUCCUGAAAACAAAUGCAUCUCAUCAUAAAUUCAAAAAAAAAAAAAAAAAAAUGCUAUGUUGACUAUUUUCUUUUACCAAUUGCAUUUUAUAUCUGAUGUGACAUACUCCACUGUUGUUAAUACAAUAGGUCCCAUAGACAUAUCACUGAUAUCUAAAGAUUAUGGAGUGUGCCACAUCGAAAUCUAAAUGGAAAUGGUCAAAACAGUUGAUAAGCAUAGCAAUACUCAAAUUGAAUUAACAGAUUGACAAGUUGCUACAACAUUGAGAAAAUGAUUGAUGAACUGCUGGAGCAUUGAUAAAAUGAUUGAAGAUCUUAAAAUGGAUAUCUACAUAUUGAAAACUUUCUUUUCUCAUAUAAAUUAGAUUGCAUCUUUUCUCUUUUUUAAUGUUAUUAUUUUACUUUAAUAAUGGGAUGAGCUAAAAAGUAGAGCUAUGUUCAUCUUGUUCUACUCUCUUUCCUCAUAGUAAAUUUCUUCCCUCAGUCUUCAAAUGGAAUUCUUUUGUCUUCUUUUAUGGGUUUCUAAAUUAUAUUAUUAUUAGAUCAUCAAACACCUAGCAAACCAAACUAUGCAUUUUGGGAGAGAUGGCUUUUGCUUGAAUGACCGAUACACCAAUUUGUUCUUUGGAAGGUUGUGAGUAACUUGCAAAAUGCAGUUAAGGAUUAUGAUAUUGUUGUGAAUAGGUUUCUUUCUAUUAAAAUACAUGAGUUGUUUGAAGAGCUCAUUAACAUUGAGUCCGGCAAAGAAAGUAGAAAUAUAACAACUUGUUGUAACUUCUCAUCAAUGAAUAAUGUGGUCUAUAUACUUUUUUCCUAUGAAUAUUUUGUUCACAUUCCAUUUACACUUGUCAUACAUACUUGGGGCAAACUAACAGCUAUGUGACCCUCACAUCCCAUUUAGCAUCUUGGUACUACCAAUGGAGGUUGGCAGACACAGUUGGGAAGAGGGAAAUUGAGGCUUAUCAAAUUGUGAAUAAUUUUUUUCAGCUGAUCUUUCAAAGGUAUCCACGGUCUGAGGAGUACCAGUCCUUCUCUCUUAUAUAUAACGACAGGUCACUGGAUUUGAUUUGUAAAGAUAAAUAUGACACUGAGCAAUGGUUUAUUGGUUUAAAAGCAUUAAUUUCACGUGGCCAUCAACGAAAGUGGAGAACAGAAUCAAGGAGUGAUGGUAUUCCAUCUGAAGCUAAUAGUCCCCGAACAUACACUCGAAGAAGUUCUCCUUUGAACUCUCCAUUUGGUAGUGGUGAUAGCUUGCAGAAGGUUUCUUUUAUAAGACAAAACAUCAAAUAAUUUCGAGUGCUGCUGACCAACUGUCAAAGCCUCCUUGUGAAAUCUAAAAUAAUUAUUUCGAUCUAGGAGAAGGAAGGAAUCAAGCAAUUUCAAGUUUACAAGAAUAAGGUUCAAGAGCUUCACAAGUCUUUUAUAGAAGAAGCCAUUAGUUUUUGAGGACUUUGAUGAAUAGAUUUCUAUAAUUUUUGAAUAGUUUUGGGUAAUGUUUACAAACUUAUAUAUGUACAGUUUUGGAUGAUUUAUAACUUUUUUUGAUAAUUUAUAACUUAAGGAUAGUCCUUUUGGAUGUUUGGAAUGUAUAUAUUGACAAUUUUUGAAUGUUUAUAAUUUAUAGAUAUAGUUUAUUUUUAAUGGUUGAAAUAA